GCGUGGGUGGUGCAACGGUUCAGCACACGCUUCCGGAUAGAGGGAGGUCUGGGUUCGAAUCCCGGUUGACGCA